CGCCCCUGCUCCUCCUCCUCCGCUCCUCCCACCCGGCUUCGGAGUGGUGCCCGCGCCUGCCUAGGAGCGCAGGCACUCGCAGUUGAUGAUGAGCCAUUGGACACUUGGGAGGCUGAGGCAAGAGGAUCAGGAGUUCAAGAACAUCCUUGGCUACACAGCAAGUCCUAGGCCAGCCUAGGCUAUUUAAGAGCCCAUCUCAGAGUGUAGGUGGGACAGAGACAUAUCAGUUCCAGCCUGUGUUCAUUCCUUUUUCUCUAAACAGAGGAACUUCCUGAAUGGAGCUUCAUAGUGGAAGUCACCUAAGUGGACCCUUUGAAGUCACCAAUACUUACUAUCAUUCCUAUAGAAUUCUAAGUUCAUCUUAAACCUACCUUCCUGCAUCCCUGAACAAGAAGGAGCAAGUAAUUGUUGAAGAGAUGGAAAAGAAGAGGAGGAGAACAGAGUUGCUUUACAGGCUUUGUAGCCAGUCAGCAGAAUGCUUGCCUUACAUUCAUGAAACUCUGGGUUUGAUCCUCAGCACAGAAAAAAAAAAAAAAACAUGGAUAAUCCAUGCAUGAAAUCCCAGCACUCAAGAGAUGGAAGCAGGAGGAUCAGAAAUUCAAGGUGACUCUCAGCUACAUAAUGGGCUUGAGGCUAGCCUGGGCUACACAAGAACCUGUCCAAAAAAAGAGAAAAAGCCUUUAGACCAUGCCCCAUGUUCAUAUUUGCUCAAUGAAGAAUAAACUGGGAAAUAAAUUUGUGCC
rnacentral:lncRNA from 1 species